rnacentral:rRNA from 1 species
UACGAAGGGGGCUAGCGUUGUUCGGAAUUACUGGGCGUAAAGGGCGUGUAGGCGGCCCGUUAAGACAGGUGUGAAAUUCCUGGGCUCAACCCAGGACGUGCGCCUGUGACUGGCGGGCUUGAGUCCGGGAGAGGAUGGUGGAACUCCCGAGUGUAGAGGUGAAAUUCGUAGAUAUUGGGAAGAACACCCGUGGCGAAGGCGGCCAUCUGGACCGGUACUGACGCUAAGGCGCGACAGCGUGGGGAGCAAACAGG